rnacentral:lncRNA from 1 species
AGGAUUCUGUUACUGUGUAAGCUUAAUUAGUAACCAUGCCAUGUUUUAGUUGCAUGGAGUUACCUGGGACAGUUCCUUUGUCUAAUUCACUUGGAGUGCCCUAAAUCUGGACUUUUCAUCAGAAGGCAGCCCAGUGGCCCCAUCCCAGGCUGGGGAAGAAUCCUCGAGCCAGAGCUCGGCGCCGCAUCCAGAGCCUCACGACAGGAGCUGUGCCUCGAGUGGAGUCUUCUGGAGCUGUGAUGAAAACAGGAUUAAAGAAGAAAUCAUUGGCAAUGGAGUGCUGCAACAACGGAAAUGCUUCUUUUCAGUGGAUACUAAAGAGCUCCUCAUGGCCCUGAGCACUGGAAUUGGCCACCUUGGCGUCCCCCAAAAGCUUAAUGGAGAAGCUGGAGCUGCUGUUUUGAAAUCUGUCCAAAGAGGAUUUGGAUGCUCUACUCUCAUUAAAAAACUGGUGGGUAAACAGGUGCCAAAAUCCUGCUGUUGACCUCGUAAACCUGCC